UGGGGAAUAUUGGGCAAUGGGGGAAACCCUGACCCAGCGACGCCGCGUGAGGGAAGAAGGUUUUCGGAUUGUAAACCUCUGUCCUUGGUGACGAUAAUGACGGUAGCCAAGGAGGAAGCCACGGCUAACUACGUGCCAGCAGCCGCGGUAAUACGUAGGUGGCGAGCGUUGUCCGGAAUUACUGGGUGUAAAGGGAGCGUAGGCGGGAGAGCAAGUCGACUGUGAAAGCUAUGGGCUUAACCCAUAGAUGCGAUCGAAACUGUUCAUCUUGAGUGAAGUAGAGGCAGGCGGAAUUCCUAGUGUAGCGGUGAAAUGCGUAAAUAUUAGGAGGAACACCAGUGGCGAAGGCGGCCUGCUGGGCUUUAACUGACGCUGAGGCUCGAAAGCGUGGGUAGCAAACAGG
rnacentral:rRNA from 1 species